GACGAACGCUGGCGGCGUGCUUAACACAUGCAAGUCGAACGGAAAGACCCUGCUUUUGUGGGGUGCUCGAGUGGCGAACGGGUGAGUAACACGUGAGUAACCUGCCCUUGACUUUGGGAUAACUUCAGGAAACUGGGACUAAUACCGGAUAGGAGCUCCUGCUGCAUGGUGGGGGUUGGAAAGUUUCGGCGGUUGGGGAUGGACUCGCGGCUUAUCAGCUUGUUGGUGGGGUAGUGGCUUACCAAGGCUUUGACGGGUAGCCGGCCUGAGAGGGGGACCGGCCACAUGGGGACUGAGAUACGGCCCAGACGCCUACGGGAGGCAGCAGGGGGGAAUAUGGCACAAUGGGCGGAAGCCUGAUGCAGCAACGCCGCGUGCGGGAUGACGGCCUUCGGGUUGUAAACCGCUGUCGCCUGUGACGAAGCGUGAGUGACGGUAAUGGGUAAAGAAGCACCGGCUAACUACGUG
rnacentral:rRNA from 1 species